CGCGCCGGGGCGGCAUCCAACUCCAAGCAUUUUGGGUACGCCUAGCCCUAACCCCUCUUCCGCACACAGCCACCCAGCGCCGUCAUUCCAGAUCCAGCCACACCUUCCAUCAUCGCCUCGCCUUCCCUCCUAUCCCCUCCCGUUUCCCCUCGCCGCCGCCAUCCCCGUCGUUGUCUCAUCGGUCACCUACGGAGCGCCGCCCAGCCCGGCAGAGCAAUUUCCGCCAUCACCUCCACCCUCCUAUCUGCAUCUAGCAUGAGUUCUACGGCGACGAAGACGAGAUCCACAAUGCAGGGUCACCUACAGCACGUGGACGACGACAGAUCUGGCCGCCCGUCUGCAUAUCCCUUACUAGGAUGCAUCCUGGCUCCUAGCGCAUCUGUUCGCCACAAAAUACUGCGCGUCGCCACGUACACAGUAGGUAGUGACGGGCGACUAGCGCGUGAAGGCGGAGGCGCUGCAGAUCCUGGGCAUGCUCCAAUUUCUCCCUCGCCUCAUCAUCUUUGAACUGGACUAUAUGGCCGUCUUGUACUGCUUGUGCUGCUCCAAGGAGUCAACGAGCCUGUGCCGCAUGAGAAAGAAUCUGUGUAUGUGCUCAAGGAGAAGGACACUGAAAUUUCAAGCUGGAGCUCCAGCCCAUGUUUGGCUCACAGUGCUUUUUGUUUCAAAGAGGCAAAGUGUUAAUGUGGUGAAGCUCACGUCCACUAGUGAGAUUCUUAGGACUAUAGGCAGCAAGGUUUGAAGUUUGAACAGCCAAAGCAGCGCCAUGGGAACCGUCAUGGUGGUUCACGAAACAGAUUGUCUUUAUCCCUCUUCCCUAAGUCUGAAGAGGAAGAUAAUGAAAGCCUUCUUUGGAAGAGGAAGAUAAUUAAAGCCAUCUCUGGAAGAGGAAGAAAAUGUAGCAUGUGCUUUAUUCUUUGAAAUAACGUGAUGUAGCAUCUGCUUUAUUCUAUUUAGUGCAGAAAUAAAUCGAACUUGUUUGUAAUAUUAUAUUUGCUUGGGAUGUGACAUUCAAUGUUUCUACAAGUAAUUUCCUUGUUAUAAUUACAGAACUUGUGGCCCUAUGUAGUUUGUACAAGGAUAGCAAAACUUGAGUAAUUCAAAAAAUCUGUAAGAAAUUUAUGUGUGUAGGAAAA